rnacentral:rRNA from 1 species
AGCAGCCGCGGUAAUUCCAGCUCCAAUAGCGUAUAUUUAAGUUGUUGCAGUCAAUUUCUACCUUCUGGAGAACCGCGAUGUCCUUAAUUGGAUGCCGCGGGGAACCAGGACCUUUACUUGAAAAAUUAGAGUGUUUAAAGCAGGCAUUUUUGCUUGAAUACAUUAGCAUGGAAUAAUAAAUAGGACGGCAUGGUUCUAUUUUGUUGGUUUCUAGGACCACCGUAAUGAUUAAUAGGAUAGUUGGGGGCAUUAGUAUUCAAUUGUCAGAGGUGAA